AGUGAACGCUGGCGGUAGGCCUAACACAUGCAAGUCGAACGGCAGCACAGUAAGAGCUUGCUCUUACGGGUGGCGAGUGGCGGACGGGUGAGGAAUACAUCGGAAUCUACUUUUUCGUGGGUGAUAACGUAGGGAAACUUACGCUAAUACCGCAUACGACCUACGGGUGAAAUCAGGGGAUCUUCGGACCUUGCGUGAUUGAAUGAGCCGAUGUCGGAUUAGCUAGUUGGCGGGGUAAAGGCCCACCAAGGCGACGAUCCGUAGCUGGUCUGAGAGGAUGAUCAGCCACACUGGAACUGAGACACGGUCCAGACUCCUACGGGAGGCAGCAGUGGGGAAUAUUGGACAAUGGGCGCAAGCCUGAUCCAGCCAUGCCGCGUGGGUGAAGAAGGCCUUCGGGUUGUAAAGCCCUUUUGUUGGGAAAGAAAAGCAGUAGGUUAAUACCCCGCUGUUCUGACGGUACCAAAAGAAUAAGCACCGGCUAACUUCGUG
rnacentral:rRNA from 1 species